rnacentral:rRNA from 1 species
AACGAACGCUGGCGGCAUGCCUAACACAUGCAAGUCGAACGAGACCUUCGGGUCUAGUGGCGCACGGGUGCGUAACGCGUGGGAACCUGCCCUUAGGUUCGGAAUAACUCCCCGAAAGGGGUGCUAAUACCGGAUAAUGUCUUCGGACCAAAGAUUUAUCGCCUUUGGAUGGGCCCGCGUUGGAUUAGCUAGUUGGUAGGGUAAAAGCCUACCAAGGCGACGAUCCAUAGCUGGUCUGAGAGGAUGAUCAGCCACACUGGGACUGAGACACGGCCCAGACUCCUACGGGAGGCAGCAGUGGGGAAUAUUGGACAAUGGGCGAAAGCCUGAUCCAGCACUGCCGCGUGAGUGAUGAAGGCCUUAGGGUUGUAAAGCUCUUUUACCCGGGAUGAUAAUGUCAGUACCGGGAGAAUAAGCUCCGGCUAACUCCGUG